rnacentral:rRNA from 1 species
CCUACGGGAGGCUGCAGUGAGGAAUAUUGGUCAAUGGGCGCGAGCCUGAACCAGCCAAGUAGCGUGAAGGAUGACUGCCCUACGGGUUGUAAACUUCUUUUAUAAAGGAAUAAAGUGAGGCCCGUGUGCCUUUUUAUAUGUACUUUAUGAAUAAGGAUCGGCUAACUCCGUGCCAGCAGCCGCGGUAAUACGGAGGAUCCGAGCGUUAUCCGGAUUUAUUGGGUUUAAAGGGAGCGUAGAUGGGUUGUUACGUCAGUUGUGAACGUUUGCGGCUCAACCGUAAAAUUGCAAUUGCUACUGGCAGCCUUGAGUACAGUUGAGGUACGCGGAAUUCGUGGUGUAGCGGUGAAAUGCUUAGAUAUCACGAAGAACUCCGAUUGCGAAGGCAGCCUACUAAACUGCCACUGACAUUGAUGCUCGAAAGUGUGGGUAUCAAACAGGAUUAGAUACCCUUGUAGUC